AAGAGAGGAAGCAGAAGAGAGGAAGCAGAAGAGAGGAAGCAGAAGCGAGGAAGCCGUGCAGGCCUGCUUGCUCGGCUAAGGAAGCGGCCGCACCGACCACCACCACCAAGCCUCUUCCUCGCAAAUGCCAGGUUCAUCGUCCACACAAUCUACGAACUGGAGGUACUACUAGCUGCUAACACGAACGUACGCGACUGCUGUGUGAUGAUCAUCACGGCAUCCUGGCUACACUCGCGGAUUCCAGACACAGCAGUGCAGCUACCAGGCCGCUCCACCCACCGCUACGACAGGAACAGCUCUUCCGACCCACGUGACCUUUGGAGAGAAUGAGACCUGAUUCGGAUCUGAUCUGGAAAAAACUCUGGUGAUGAAAUCUACAGCAUAAGCCAGUCAUCAGUAAACCAUCACGACGACAGAUCUCUGCCGUGUGAAAUCGGGGGUGACCCCCGUCCCCGACAGACUCAUCCCUCUGUCACGCCCCCCUUCAGCAGUUCUGGGGAGACCCCCAGCACCGCUGCAGUCUGAGAGCCAGGCAUAUUUUUGAGCUUCUCAGUGCGGCCGUAGAGCAGCUCUGGGUUGACCCCGUCCCAGACAACGAGUUGCCAUACCGAUCUGCCUCACGAUCACAGCGCUGCUACCGUCAACUUUAUGGUUACACCAACUGAAUAAGCUGGAGGCGUCUGAUAGCGGUGUGGUUUUCUCCAGCAGUGAGAAAUGUAUUUUUGAUUUCCUUUCUAUUUUCUUGUGAUGGGGUGAUUUCAUAAACGGUCAAACAUGGGUGAUUUAGCAGCUGGAGAAACGUCGUUUCUGCAUUGUUUGAAUGGUAUAAUUCCCCUAAGCGAAGAUGAAUACACAUAUAGUGAAAUGUCAUUUCCUCAGUGUUCAAACAAUAUUAGCGAGUUGAGUGACGAAGAACUAGUUGUAAACGACCAUUCCGCCCCCUCAGAAACAAA